rnacentral:rRNA from 1 species
CCCUUAGAUGUUCUGGGCCGCACGCGCGCUACACUGAUGCAUUCAACGAGUUUCUUCCUGGUCCGAGAGGAAUGGGUAACCUUUUGAAAGUGCAUCGUGAUAGGGAUAGACUAUUGCAAUUAUUGGUCUUCAACGAGGAAUUCCUAGUAGACGUAGUUCAUCAGACUGCAUCGAUUACGUCCCUGCCCUUUGUACACACCGCCCGUCGCUACUACCGAUUGAAUGCUCAGGUGAGCCAUUCGGACUUUCAUCAUGCUGGUUUCCAGUUUUGAUGAAGGAAAGUCUUGCGAACCUUAUCAUUUAGAGGAAGGAGAAGUCGUAACA